rnacentral:misc_RNA from 1 species
AAUGAUCUAGAACCAACAACUUCAGGGUCAAAGUGAACUUCUAGUUCAUUGGAUAUCCUGCUGUAACGAAAUUGCCGUAACCCUUUCAACGUGCUAAGUACUCCUUCUAAAAGCUGCACAUCCAUCUCACUGAAUAUCCCAGCAACUCCUAAUAUGAUUUUGUCCUGGUGAUUACUCUGAACAAGUGCAGCUUCAAAACCAGCAUCUUCAAUUGCUUUCACUAUAUCAUCUUUACUAAUUACAGUAGGAUCAUACUCAACUUCCCCUAAAGAAGUAGCCAAGGCCACUACUGCCCUUUUGACUCCAGGAAGAUUUCUCAAAAUACCUUCAACUGAGUUCACACAGGCUGCACAG